CGUCUUUUGAGGAACUGGUUUUUGAGGCCUAUACUGGACAUUGAGAAACUGAACAAGCGUUUUGAUGCUAUAACAUUCUUCCAUUCUGCUGAAGAACUUUUGGC